rnacentral:rRNA from 1 species
AGAUUGAACGCUGGCGGCAUGCCUAACACAUGCAAGUCGAACGGGAGUAGCAAUACUCUAGUGGCGGACGGGUGAGGAAUACGGUAGGAAUUUGCCCUUAAGUGGGGGAUAACCCGGGGAACCCGGAUUAAUACCGGCAUGACCUCGAAAGAGCAAAGUGGGGGAUCGCAAGACCUCACGCUUUUGGAGAAGCCUACGGUCGGAUUAGCUAGUUGGUGAGGUAAUGGCUCACCAAGGCGACGAUCCGUAACUGGGUCUGAGAGGAUGAAUCAGUCACACCGGAACUGAGACACGGUCCGGACUCCUACGGGAGCAGCAGUGGGGAAUAGUUGGACAAGUGGGACGCGAAGCCUGAUCCGAGUCCAAUGCCGCGUGUGUCGAAGAAGUCCGUUGGUUGUAAGCACGUUUAAGGUAGGGAAGAAAAAC